ensembl:misc_RNA 7SK 7SK RNA
GGAAGCAGGCUGAUCUGGCUGUCAAUGUCACCUACGGCCUGCCGGAGUUGAUACAGCUACUCUGGCUGGCUACGUGGGUAUUCUCUUCUUCCCUCAUCACACCAUGAUUCUCACUGCUGAAGCUUCGUCCUUGCAGAAGAUGACGGUUUCCAGUAGUGAAACCAUUCUCUAGUCUAGUCUCUCUCUUGCUAGAACUUCCAAAGUAGUUCUUAGGAGCUAGCUAGGAUAUGCCAAACCCAGCAGUGCUGGUCAUAUAAACACACAGACAAAGCUAAGUAGUGUCCUAGCACUACUAU